rnacentral:rRNA from 1 species
UACGUAGGUGGCGAGCGUUGUCCGGAAUUACUGGGUGUAAAGGGCGUGUAGGCGGGCUAUUAAGUCAGGUGUGAAAUACCGCAGCUCAACUGCGGGGUGGCACUUGAUACUGGCAGUCUUGAGGGCAGGAGAGGGAAGUGGAAUUCCUGGUGUAGCGGUGAAAUGCGUAGAUAUCAGGAGGAACACCAGUGGCGAAGGCGGCUUCCUGGACUGACCCUGACGCUGAGACGCGAAAGCGUGGGGAGCAAACAGG